UACGAAGGGGGCUAGCGUUGCUCGGAAUCACUGGGCGUAAAGGGUGCGUAGGCGGGUCUUUAAGUCAGGGGUGAAAUCCUGGAGCUCAACUCCAGAACUGCCUUUGAUACUGAGGAUCUUGAGUUCGGGAGAGGUGAGUGGAACUGCGAGUGUAGAGGUGAAAUUCGUAGAUAUUCGCAAGAACACCAGUUGCGAAGGCGGCCGACUGGACACAUAUUGACGCUGAGGCUCGAAAGCAUGGGGAGCAAACAGG
rnacentral:rRNA from 1 species